UAGGUACUCCCUCCGUCCGAAAAAGCUUGUCCCUCAAAUGAAUGUAUCUAGCACCAAGUUAGUGCUAGAUACAUCCAUUUGAGAGACAAGCUUGGAACAAGCUUUUUCGGACGGAUGGGAGUAUUGA
rfam:Triticum aestivum genome assembly, contig: Triticum_aestivum_CS42_TGACv1_scaffold_062766_1DL